rnacentral:rRNA from 1 species
GACGAACGCUGGCGGCGUGCCUAAUACAUGCAAGUAGAACGCUGAAGGAGGAGCUUGCUUCUCCGGAUGAGUUGCGAACGGGUGAGUAACGCGUAGGUAACCUGCCUGGUAGCGGGGGAUAACUAUUGGAAACGAUAGCUAAUACCGCAUAACAGUAGAUAUUGCAUGAUAUCUGCUUGAAAGGUGCAAUUGCAUCACUACCAGAUGGACCUGCGUUGUAUUAGCUAGUUGGUGAGGUAACGGCUCACCAAGGCGACGAUACAUAGCCGACCUGAGAGGGGGAUCGGCCACACUGGGACUGAGACACGGCCCAGACUCCUACGGGAGGCAGCAGUAGGGAAUCUUCGGCAAUGGACGGAAGUCUGACCGAGCAACGCCGCGUGAGUGAAGAAGGUUUUCGGAUCGUAAAGCUCUGUUGUAAGAGAAGAACGAGUGUGAGAGUGGAAAGUUCACACCGUGACGGUAUCUUACCAGAAAGGGACGGCUAACUACGUG